UCAAGUUGCAGAGAUGUCUGGUCGUGGCAAAGGUGGUAAGGGGCUCGGAAAAGGGGGUGCUAAGCGCCACCGCAAGGUUCUGCGCGACAAUAUCCAGGGCAUCACCAAGCCCGCUAUUCGUCGUCUGGCUCGUCGUGGUGGUGUAAAGCGAAUCUCCGGUCUUAUCUAUGAAGAGACUCGUGGGGUGCUGAAGGUGUUUCUGGAAAAUGUGAUACGGGACGCUGUCACCUACACUGAGCACGCCAAGCGCAAAACUGUCACCGCAAUGGACGUGGUCUACGCGCUUAAGCGCCAGGGACGUUGGUAGCCUAGUCCAUUGGACCACAGAUCCGGACACUCCUCAAUGGCUCGCACUAAGCAGACGGCUCGCAAGUCCACCGGCGGCAAGGCGCCACGCAAGCAGCUGGCCACCAAGGCGGCCCGCAAAAGCGCGCCGGCCACCGGCGGCGUGAAGAAGCCGCACCGCUAUCGGCCCGGCACGGUAGCUCUGCGCGAGAUCCGCCGUUAUCAGAAGUCCACGGAGCUGCUGAUCCGCAAGCUGCCGUUCCAGCGGCUGGUGCGCGAGAUCGCGCAGGACUUCAAGACCGACCUGCGCUUCCAGAGCUCGGCCGUGAUGGCGCUGCAGGAGGCGUGCGAGGCCUACCUGGUGGGGCUCUUCGAGGACACCAACCUUCUCUGCUCUUUCGACAUGUCUGGUCGCGGCAAAGGCGGGAAGGGUCUGGGUAAGGGAGGCGCCAAGCGCCACCGCAAAGUCCUUCGUGAUAACAUCCAGGGCAUUACCAAGCCUGCCAUUCGGCGCCUGGCUCGUCGCGGUGGUGUGAAGCGCAUCUCUGGGCUCAUCUACGAGGAGACUCGCGGGGUGCUGAAGGUGUUCCUGGAGAACGUGAUCCGGGACGCGGUCACCUACACCGAGCACGCCAAGCGCAAGACUGUCACCGCCAUGGACGUGGUCUACGCGCUCAAGCGCCAGGGACGCACCCUCUACGGCUUCGGCGGCUGAGUGUCUGCGUUCUCCCAUAUUCAACAAAAGGUCCUUUUAAGGGCCCCC